rnacentral:rRNA from 1 species
CCUACGGGGAGCUGCAGUGGGGAAUAUUGGACAAUGGGCGAAAGCCUGAUCCAGCCAUGCCGCGUGUGUGAAGAAGGCCUUCGGGUUGUAAAGCACUUUCAGUGGGGAAGAAAGCCUUGGGGCUAAUACCCUCGAGGAAGGACAUCACCCACAGAAGAAGCACCGGCUAACUCCGUGCCAGCAGCCGCGGUAAUACGGAGGGUGCGAGCGUUAAUCGGAAUUACUGGGCGUAAAGCGCGCGUAGGCGGUCUGAUAAGCCGGUUGUGAAAGCCCCGGGCUCAACCUGGGAACGGCAUCCGGAACUGUCAGGCUAGAGUGCAGGAGAGGAAGGUAGAAUUCCCGGUGUAGCAGUGAAAUGCGUAGAGAUCGGGAGGAAUACCAGUGGCGAAGGCGGCCUUCUGGACUGACACUGACGCUGAGGUGCGAAAGCGUGGGUAGCAAACAGGAUUAGAUACCCUAGUAGUC